rnacentral:rRNA from 1 species
GAUGAACGCUGGCGGCGUGCCUAAUACAUGCAAGUCGAGCGAACGGACGAGAAGCUUGCUUUUCUGAUGUUAGCGGCGGACGGGUGAGUAACACGUGGAUAACCUACCUAUAAGACUGGGAUAACUUCGGGAAACCGGAGCUAAUACCGGAUAAUAUUUUGAACCGCAUGGUUCAAAAGUGAAAGACGGUCUUGCUGUCACUUAUAGAUGGAUCCGCGCUGCAUUAGCUAGUUGGUAAGGUAACGUCUUACCAAGGCAACGAUGCAUAGCCGACCUGAGAGGGUGAUCGGCCACACUGGAACUGAGACACGGUCCAGACUCCUACGGGAGGCAGCAGUAGGGAAUCUUCCGCAAUGGGCGAAAGCCUGACGGAGCAACGCCGCGUGAGUGAUGAAGGUCUUCGGAUCGUAAAACUCUGUUAUUAGGGAAGAACAUAUGUGUAAGUAACUGUGCACAUCUUGACGGUACCUAAUCAGAAAGCCACGGCUAACUACGUG